rnacentral:rRNA from 1 species
UACGUAGGGUGCGAGCGUUGUCCGGAAUUAUUGGGCGUAAAGGGCUCGUAGGCGGUUUGUCGCGUCGGGAGUGAAAUCCACUGGCUUAACUGGUGGCUUGCUUUCGAUACGGGCAGACUGGAGGUAUGCAGGGGAGAACGGAAUUCCUGGUGCAGCGGUGAAAUGCGCAGAUAUCAGGAGGAACACCGGUGGCGAAGGCGGUUCUCUGGGCAUGUCCUGACGCUGAGGAGCGAAAGUGUGGGGAGCGAACAGG